UCUGGAGUUUUGCAGCAAGCCCAGGGCGCAGAUGGUAAUUAAUUUCAGAUUAGCAAUCCAGAAAGCUGAAAUCUGAAGAAAGAGCGCUUCGAUUAAUCCCAACUUCCAUGCAUAAAUAGCAAUAUCACUCCAUUUCACUGUGUAUGUGGAGAGAAGAUAUAAAUUGACAAAUCUUUUAUCUCAAGCUAGAUUUCCUUCUGCAACAGCAACAAAUCAGGCCUGCUUUCCAUUCGAGUGGCUGCUGAAGCUUAGAACAAAAACUUUAAAAGCACCAGAAUUUGAGAUUGUUAGGUAAUGCUUAAAAAUGUGUUUUUAAGUGUUCUGUAAGGAGCACUUCUGUCAGUAUACCUUGUGCAUUGUGCAUCUUCUGUGCAUUGCAAAAUAGAAGAUUUGCCAUAUGUACUUAGAGAAUAUCUUCAAAGUUUGUUUAUAUCUUUUGAAAAAUUGCUUGUCUAGUUCUGGCAACAUUGUAAAUCUUCAUUUUGUAUUUGAUCACUUCAGAGGAAGGAGGGCAUCUGGUACAUACCACUGAAGAUGGAGAAAGAAAAGAAAAUGCAUGCAGAAGACUUAAGCAUGCUCAUUGGUUUUUGAAUCUUUUACAUAUUAGGAAUCUGUUGGGGAGGGAAAAAGAAAUCCACUGAUGCUAAUAGGACUGGCUAACUAAUCUUACUUGAUUUUUGAACUAGACUUCAGUAUCUUUUCUUAUAUUAGCGAAUAAAAUAAAAAGAAAGCUGUAGAUUUCAAUGUGCUGCCAGCAAAUGUUUCACACAUUUUCUUAUAAGUGAAGGAUUAAAUGAUUUAACUAACUUUGAUCAUGCAAUUCGAAGAAAAUGAAAGUUGAUGAAAUGUUUUGGAUGUAUCUUCAGUAGCUUUAGCAUCAACUAUUUUGAGUCCUUUUGUGCAAAAUAGAACAUAACAAUCAUACCAGAACAAAAUUUCAGGGGUCUCUCACUGUUUCUUUCUCAAUAUGACACUUGGUGUGCCUAAGAAAGUAUUCAUUAUUUUUAUUCAAACUUGGUUCACACUGGUUUUACUUCAUUUUUUCAGGCUGUGAGAAAUAUUGUAAAUCAUUAUUUUUUUAUUUUUGUGUCCUUCACAGUGUUUGUGCAAAGGGACUCCAAAAUAUCCUGGAAAUUAUGAAUUAUAGCAAAUAUAAAGAGUUUGGCAGAGUAGUGUUGAUGCAAAUGAAGCUGGCUGUGUUCCUCCAUAAUAACUGCUUUCAUUAAUUAUCACUUCCACUAUCGAAGGAACACUGAAUCACAUUGUAUUUUAUGCUGUUGGCAUUAUACUGAAAUUGCUACUAAAAUCCUUAGAGAUCCUG